CUCAGAAUUAUCCACUUCUGGCCCAGCUACAGUAAGGCACUGAAGUAAGGGCCAGGAAAUCUUCAUAUGUUCUUGGACCUGGUAUGGCCUCUCAGGUAACCCAGUUAAUGUCUGUGUCUCCCAAUGAUUAAAAAAAAAAAAAAAAAAGGAAAAGGAGAAAAAGAUGUUCCUGCCUCAAAAGGGUUAAGAAAUCAGACUGGGUGAUCUCUGGGACAGGGUUCUGAAUUUUCAUGCAACAACCACAAGCAACAGAGCACUGUAUGUGCCAUAAGUUAUCAUCAAGUAACUGACACUAACAUGGACUGGUCUUUAUUAUCUGGAAGAGGGUAACAGCAAAUUGCUGGGAAACACUGGAGAGAAGGGCUCCCCCUGCUGUCCUCCCGGAAGAUGGGCUGACUAGAGGCCACAGUUUUGGGCAUCCACCGGGUGCAGAAGAUUUGGGCCGUUGGGGUCAAUGCCAGAGAAUUUGUCAAGUUCAUCACCUUGAGAUAUGUGUAAUUUUAUUGGAAGUGAAAUAAAAGUAUAGCUGACAAAUAAAAGAUGAUUAUUUCUCUUAAAACACUUCAGAUUGAGGUACAGAAAAGUCAGCCUACUUUCAACCACCUAAAUGGUCUACCUCAGUCCAUUUAUGACCAUAAGAACAAGGAUGGUAUUUGUGUGGCCCACUUCGGGAGCUGGGAAUCUGUUUGAAUAUAUUGCUUUUUUUUGUUUUUUGUUUUUUUUGAGAUAGGGCUUGAGCUGUCUCAAAGGUUGGCCUUGGACUUGGGAUCCUUCUGCCUCAGCCUCCCUAGCAUUGGGAUUACAGCUCUUUGCAUAGGAACCAAUGGAUCUAUAAGCCUUCAGAGGUCAUGAAGAGUUGGGUUUGUCAACCACAGAUUUAUAGCGCAAGAAGGAGUUUAUUUAAGGUCUUCAACCCCUGAACAAACGUAGCACAGGUAAAACAUGAGUCUGUUUUCCACUGUUACAGCAAAAUACCUGAAGCUGUGUACUUUGUAAAGAAAAGCUAUUUAGCUCACCAAUUUAGAGGCUAAAGAUCUAAAAUCAGGAAGCCUCUUGCAUUUGGCCUCUGGUGAGGCCCUUCCUUGGCUGCAUCACACAAUGGCUAAUGGCAUCAUAGCAGAUGGCCAAAAUGUGUGUGAGACAGAGAAGGUCACAUGUGAAACAGGAAACCAAAAGGAGACCCAGGCUGCUCUUUCAUAACAACAAUGUGCUCUCAUGAGAAAAACCAACUCAUGCUGUGAGACCAGCAUUGAUCCUUUCCAACGUGUGACCAUUAAUCCUGACAUGGCAAUUUGACUGGAUUGAAAAAUGCCUAGCAGAUUAGUAACACACAGGUCUGGGUGUGUCUGUGGAGGUGAUUGGCAGGUAGGCCAGCAAACUGGGUGGUAACAACCAAUAGGCUCAUAGCCUGGUCAGAAGAAAAAGGGAAAGAAGGAAGUUCAUCCAUUUUUGAAGAGCUCCAGUCUUCUUGAGCAAGUGUAGCCUUUCCUGCUAUUGUCUCCAGUUUCUUCAGCCUUCCAACACAGACUCACACUAGUGACUCUCCAGCGAGCCUUCAGGACUUCGACUUUAGACUGGUGCUGUAUCCUUGAUUCCUCUUGUUCUGUGGCUUCCAUCUUCUUCAGCUGAGCAGCGACUGGAUUGUCUCAAUCUCCAGCACAUAGAUGAUUAUCAUGGAUUCUUCCACUUCUGAUCUCACAGAUGGCCAUUGUGGACUCUCCCCACUUCUGAUGCUAUAAGCCCACCUAAUAAAUUCCCUUGUAUAUGAUACAUGUAUUUUCUCUUGAUUCUGUUCCUCUAGAGAAUCUUAACUAAUGCACAAAGGUGGAACCCCUAAUUACCAAAGCAUCUCCUACUAGGCAUCACCUUUUAAAGGUCCUACUGCCUUCCAGCAUUGCCACACUGGGCACCAGGUUUCUAACACAUGAACCCUUGGGGGACACGCUCACACCAUAUCCAAACCAUACUGGUGUGUAUAGCUCAUUUUCUUCAGGUCUGAACUCCAGUGCCCCAUCAGUGAAAUCCUCCCUUUUCAUCCUGUAUGGGCAUCCUAUUGCUGCUAUAACAAGUUACCAUAAGCCUAGUGAUUUAAAACAACAUGACAGUACUAUUUUAUAGUUCUGAAUAUCAGCUGGGUAUGAUGGAUGGAUCUUGGCAUGUUAAACAGGCACAGGGAUCCUAUGGAUGCUAUUCAGCCAGGAAAAGAAGGGCCACACUGAUGUACCCCAACCAG
ensembl:lncRNA